GAUGAACGCUGGCGGCGUGCCUAAUACAUGCAAGUCGAGCGAACGGACGAGAAGCUUGCUUCUCUGAUGUUAGCGGCGGACGGGUGAGUAACACGUGGAUAACCUACCUAUAGGACUGGGAUAACUUCGGGAAACCGUAGCUAAUACCGGAUAAUAUUUUGAACCGCAUGGUUCAAAAGUGAAAGACGGUCUUGCUGUCACUUAUAGAUGGAUCCGCGCUGCAUUAGCUAGUUGGUAAGGUAACGGCUUACCAAGGCAACGAUGCAUAGCCGACCUGAGAGGGUGAUCGGCCACACUGGAACUGAGACACGGUCCAGACUCCUACGGGAGGCAGCAGUAGGGAAUCUUCCGCAAUGGGCGAAGGCCUGACGGAGCAACGCCGCGUGAGUGAUGAAGGUCUUCGGAUCGUAAAACUCUGUUAUUAGGGAAGAACAUAUGUGUAAGUAACUGUGCACAUCUUGACGGUACCUAAUCAGAAAGCCACGGCUAACUACGUG
rnacentral:rRNA from 1 species